UGGGGAAUUUUGGACAAUGGGGGAAACCCUGAUCCAGCCAUCCCGCGUGUGCGAUGAAGGCCUUCGGGUUGUAAAGCACUUUUGGCAGGAAAGAAACGUCAUGGGUUAAUACCCCGUGACACUGACGGUACCUGCAGAAUAAGCACCGGCUAACUACGUGCCAGCAGCCGCGGUAAUACGUAGGGUGCAAGCGUUAAUCGGAAUUACUGGGCGUAAAGCGUGCGCAGGCGGUUCGGAAAGAAAGAUGUGAAAUCCCAGGGCUCAACUUUGGAACUGCAAUUUUAGCUAGCGGGCUAGAGUGUGUCAGGGGGAGGUGGAAUUCCGCGUGUAGCAGUGAAGUGCGUAGGUAUGCGGAGGAACACCGAUGGCGAAGGCAGCCUCCUGGGAUAACACGGACGCUCAUGCACGAAAGCGUGGGGAGCAAACAGG
rnacentral:rRNA from 1 species